rnacentral:rRNA from 1 species
AUUGAACGCUGGCGGCAUGCCUUACACAUGCAAGUCGAACGGCAGCACGGGGGCAACCUUGGUGGCGAGUGGCGAACGGGUGAGUAAUGCAUCGGAACGUGCCCAGUAGUGGGGGAUAACUAGUCGAAAGAUUAGCUAAUACCGCAUACGACCUAUGGGUGAAAGUGGGGGAUUCGCAAGAACCUCGCGCUAUCGGAGCGGCCGAUGUCUGAUUAGCAGUUGGCGGGGUAAAAGCCCACCAAGGCGACGAUCAGUAGCUGGUCUGAGAGGACGACCAGCCACACUGGGACUGAGACACGGCCCAGACUCCUACGGGAGGCAGCAGUGGGGAAUCUUGCGCAAUGGGCGAAAGCCUGACGCAGCGACGCCGCGUGGGUGAUGAAGG